rnacentral:tRNA from 1 species
GGAGAGGUGGCCGAGCGGUCGAAGGCGCACGCUUGGAAAGCGUGUAGGCGAGUAAUCGUCUCGCGGGUUCGAAUCCCGCUCUCUCCGCCA